UUGCGAUCCUGAGCUUUUGCGGAGAAUAGGCGAUGCAACUGCUCUUGAAGUCAGGGCUACUGGGAUUCCUUACGUCUUUGCUCCUUGUAUUGCAGUUUGUAGAGACCCUAGAUGGGGUCGGUGUUAUGAGAGCUAUAGUGAAGAUCCCAAAAUUGUUCGAGAAAUGACCGACAUUAUAUUGGGGUUACAAGGAGAAAAUCCAAAUAGUUCUCUUAAGGGAGUACCCUAUGUUGCAGGAAGGUAUGGAGUCUAUUAAAGUUAAAAAUAAGCUCUGUUUUGGGAAAUCCAGUAAAGUUAUUAACAGUAUUCUCCUGAUCUUGUUGACUAAUAGUAGAAGCCGAAGAAUUAAUAGGGUGAGCCACUCUGGUUUUCAAAUGAUAUUUAUGCUAUAAAGCUAACACAUUCUUAUAUCUGAUUAGCCAAGAAACUAAGCUACUUUUUCGUUUUGUUUUGUUCUGUAAAGCUAACACAUUCUUAUAUGGUUUAAAAUGGUGUAAUUCACCAUUUUAAACCAUAUAUAUAUGUAUUAGGGAACAUAUUGUAGGUGUCAGAUGCAUCUAGUGGGCAACAAGCUUCAAAAGAAAAUGAAUAGGAAGUUCCUUAGCUUUCAGGUUGAUAACUUGGAAUUUUGAGGGAAAUGAGGAUCAACCCAAUAAAGGUUGCCAAAGCAUUAGUGGAAGUGUUUGCUGAAAUGAUUUUGAUGAAUAUGGGUGCAAGGUGUUAUGCCAGUUCAUUGAUAGAGUGGAGAAACACCCGAGCAAGAAAAUUGAUGAGAAGAUUGGCCAGUUCUAGAUUGUAUUUUUUUCAUAAAAGAACUUUUUUCAAGUUUUUAGUUGUAAUAACUUUUACAUGUAGCUCAAAUUUUGAGACUCAAAUAGAAUGUUCAAUAAAACUAUAAUGCUAUACUGUCUGAAUUCUUGUCA